rnacentral:pre_miRNA from 1 species
AAUAAAUACAGCUGUGAAAAUCCGUGUCCAAUGUUUGACCGUCCAUCUUAUUUGAAAAAUUUAUAAAUUUUUUUUUAAAAAAAUUAGUCACACAUAAAGUAUUAUUCAUGUUUUAUCAUCUAAUAACAAUAAAAAUAAUAAUCAUAAAAAAUUUUCAAAUAAGACGAACGGUCAAACGUUGGAAAUGAAUAGUGCAAAACUUAUU